GAGAGCUAUCGAUGAGAGACUUCCAUGCUUUGGAGACCGAUCGGAACUGAAUCAAGGAUCUCACAGGCAGCCUUUUCAUGAUUUCCUCUUGAAUUUCGAAUGAUCGAUGGUGCUGGUGGUAGGUCAAGAAGUCGCGAUGGUGGCAGGCAAGACACAUUUCAUCCUUUCUAAAUGUUAGAAGCCUCUCGCAUCAGAUCUAUUCCACUUGUUAUUGAUUGU
rnacentral:lncRNA from 1 species